rnacentral:rRNA from 1 species
UGGGGAAUAUUGGACAAUGGGCGAAAGCCUGAUCCAGCCAUGCCGCGUGUGUGAAGAAGGUCUUCGGAUUGUAAAGCACUUUAAGUUGGGAGGAAGGGCAGUAAGCGAAUACCUUGCUGCUUUGACGUUACCGACAGAAUAAGCACCGGCUAACUCUGUGCCAGCAGCCGCGGUAAUACAGAGGGUGCAAGCGUUAAUCGGAAUUACUGGGCGUAAAGCGCGCGUAGGUGGUUCGUUAAGUUGAAUGUGAAAGCCCCGGGCUCAACCUGGGAACUGAAUCCGAAACUGGCGAGCUAGAGUAGGGCAGAGGGUGGUGGAAUUUCCUGUGUAGCGGUGAAAUGCGUAGGUAUAGGAAGGAACACCAGUGGCGAAGGCGACCACCUGGGCUCAUUCUGACACUGAGGUGCGAAAGCGUGGGGAGCAAACAGG